GCCCCCGUGGCCUAGUGGCUGAGGCGUAAGAUUUCUAAUCUUAGUAUUAGUGUUACACUAAAAAGAAAAAUUAGAUUUUAUACUAUAAUACAGCAUGGUCCCGCCGGGGGUU
rnacentral:tRNA from 1 species